rnacentral:pre_miRNA from 1 species
CCGCGAGGCCGUGUCAGGUACUAGGUGACUCUGAGUGGAGAGGCUCUCAGAGACGCCUCGUGCCUCAGCACGGGCACGCGG